rnacentral:lncRNA from 1 species
UAAUUAAAAAAGGUAAACUUUAAUUUGCCCCAUGUCAUUUAGGGGUGUUUGGGUCGUUUAUUUUCGGUAUGAAAAAUAAUAUUUUCUUGCUUAUUUGGUUAUUUGUAGAAUAAUUUUUUCGUAAAAAUAUUAUUAUGGAUUUGAGAAAAAAAUUAAAGGCUAAAUUACAUAAAACCCUCCGUCAAAAUCCGAUUUUUCAUUUUCUUCCUCUGUUAUUUAAAAAUCUACACCUUCCCUCCUUGUAAAAUAAAAAAUGUUCACAGAGGGUACGGUGUGUACUGUGAUGAUAAAAUGACCAUUUUGCCCCUCACCAUUAUCGUCUCCUCCCUCAUCUUUCUCAACAGCAACAUCAAUCGGUCACGGUUUACGCCUCAAUAGGCUGCAGUUUCUCUCUAUUUUCUUCCCCACCUGCUCCCCUCUCUUCCUGCACUCUCGCCACCUCUCGAUUUCGGCGAUAGUAGGGUGGAAAUCGAGGUGGUGGUGGAUGGAGAGGUAGGUAACGGCAACGAGGGCGAAGGUGAGGUGGCGGAGGAGGGCGAAGGGGUGGUGCGGACGGGGAUGUGGGCGAGGGCGAGGGCGAGGCAACGGAGGAGGGCGAGGCGGCGAAGCAACAGGAAGAGGGCGGAGGGGUAUUUUUGGUAGAAGAAAAUAUUUUAUAACGGAAUCCUAACAGAUCACUAACGGUAGGGGGCAAAGUGCACAUUUUUUAUUUUACAAGGAGGCAAAGUGUAGUUUUUUAAAUGACAGGGGUGGAAAGUGAAAAAUCUCGUUUUGACAGGGGGGUUUUCUAUAAUUUAGCCAAAAUUAAAAUUUUCAUUUUUUGUUGUUUUUCAAAGAAAAACAAAAAUUCUAUGGAAUUAAUUUACUAUUAUACAAUAAUUUAUUUAUAAAUAUUAUAUUUAUAUAUGAUAUAAUAUAUUACAUGUGUUAUUAUCUAUUAUCUUAUAUAAAUAAAUUAUUAUAUUAUAUAUUAUAUAGAGUUGGGUUGGGAUGCUAUUGAUAGCAUCCAGCCAACUUUGCCACCUAUUUUAUAACCCUUGGAUCGCAUCGAGAUCCGUGCCACACCUUUAGUCAAAACUUGAGAAAAGCUCCAUUAGAUCCCCUCCGUUAUCUCUCUUUUUCUCUCUCUCUCUCUCUCUUUGUCUCUCUCUCUCUCUCUCUCUUCUUUUCUUUUUUCUUUUCCUUUCUUCUCCACAGACCUCACCUCCCGCCAAACCUCCCUCCUCCACAGCAUGCCCACCUCCCACCUCGCCCACUCGCCCCCUCGCCGCAGUUUUCGCCCGCCCGCUUGCUCUCUCACUUUCUCUCUUUCUUCUUUUCUUUUUCUUUUUCCUUUCUUCUCCACAGAGCUUACCACCAAACCCUCCCUCCUCCACACCCCGCCCACCUCCCAUCUCGCCCACCUCGCCCACUCGUCCCCUCGCUUGCUCGCUCGCUUGCUGGCUCGCUCACCCCCUUGCCUACUUCUCAGGUUUGAUUCUUUGUUUUAUUUUUUUUAGUUGUUUGGUGAAUAAAUUAUAGGAAAAAAAUAUUAUUUGGUGAAACAAAUUACAGGAAAAAAAAUAUUGUUCUGUGUUUAAAAAAUCUGAAAAAAAAAUCUGAUUUUAUUAUACAAAAUUUGAAUUUAUUAUAAAAUCUGAUUUUAUUAUACAAAAUCUGAUUUUAUUAUUCUAGCAUCUAUUUUAUUAAUCUCUUGGCUACUUGCAAUUCUUGUCCUUAGAACUAUUGAUAUUGAGUAAGUGAUUACACAGGCUCUGAUUCUAUGAAAGAAAAGAUAGUGUACGGAAUUCAUGUGUAUUAGCAUUCUUUGAUGAUUUUUUUCUAUGCACAGAGAAGGUUGCUCUUCUUAUUUUUUAACUACAUUUCUGCAAUUUUGAAUGAGAGUUUUUAAGUGUUUAAUGUUUUGAGUUCAGUGAUUUAGACUACUGAAAUCUACAGUUGGUAAAUAUCAUGCUUCUUACUAAUUUUUAUUUUUAUUUUUAUUUUUUCUGAAGGUUGGAGUCAAAUGGAUUAGAUAAUAAUGUUGAGAUAGGUGAAGUCUGUCUCAAAUGGUCUGUCACAGUAAACUGAAAAGGAUGGUGCUACAUAUACUACAAAAGGCCAAGAAGAGACAGAUAGCUCAAGUGACUCUGUAUGAAGAUAAACUUGUAACAUGCGUAAACAAUGGCUGAACUAGGCUUCUUGUUUGUAGUAUGUAUUUUGCUAGUAAUAACUCUGAAAUGAUACUUAUUAUCCAGAUAGUUUAACUUGUAGAAUGUUCAAGUGAUCUGGAUGAUUUAACUUAUUGUAGAAUGUUUAUCAUCGACAGGUAUUUGUUGCUUUCUGCUGUCUCCUUUUCCACUGUUGUUAAAAUUUGGUGCUCUGCUUCAUGCUAUAGUGUUUCAUUUGCUUUGUGUAACUCUGCUCAUACUGACUUCUCUAGAACUUCUGGAUGGACCAAAUUAACUUUGCCCUUAAUAGGCACCAAAAGUACCAUAGAAUGUUUGAAUAUUUGGUUUUAUUAUUAGGAAUACUGAUUUGAAGAAUUUUUUUUUUCAAACUGUGGAGUUUUUAAGCUGCAAAUGACUCGCAACCAGCUAUAGUUAGGCUAUGUGUGGAUUAUUGCAUUUGUGGAUUAUUGCAUUUAUUCUGAUUUGGAGUUUUUUUUUUCAAACUGUGGAGUUUUUCAAACUGUACCAUAUAAUGUUUGAAUUUUUUUUUCAAACUGUGGAGUUUUCAAACUGUGGAGUUUAUUCUUACCUAUAAUUAAGCAGGCCUAUCAUGAUAAUGUGGACAACAGAUCUAUUCUUUAAAAAUAGUGGCCUAUCCUGACCUGUGAGAUGGCUACUUGACAAAUUGGUAUUUAGUGUAGAACACAAUCAAAUUAAAGAUAUAAAAUCAUACAACACAAUCAAAUUAAAGAUAUAAAUUCAUUAAUUAAAAAUAGUGGUUACAAACAUAGUUCAAAUAGCCUUUAGUUACAUUAAAAUCUUCACAUACAUCAUUGCGACGAAGACAAACAGUACAACCAAAUACAACUUUAUCUUAAAAAUUCUUCUAUCUGUAAACUAAGAAGCAGUAAUUUAAUUACUAUUUUAUACGAAACCACAUUUAUAUUAAACAAGGAUCAUGGAACAAGGAUGACAUUAUGCUCAAUCUCCACCAAAGGGGCAGAAUCAGGCAGUUCUGCUAUGUCUGACCAAGAAGCUGCCGCCCUAUAAACCAAUUCAAACGGAGAAGCUAAGCAAGUCGAAACCGGUUUGAAUGGCAAUAAUUCCAUGCAUUCGGAAAAUGAGAAACAAACUGAUCUUGGGAAGCCCCCUAGGGAUGAAAGUGUGGAAGAAAACUGCGACGAGGAAUUAGGCAAGUGCUUCGAACUUGUGUCCUGAUAUAAAAAAAUCAGAUUUUAUAAUAAAAUCAGAUUUUAUAAUAAAUUCAGAUUUUGUAAUAAAAUCAUAUUUUAUAAUAAAUUCAGAUUUUUGAAAAUCAGAUUUUAUAAUAAAUUCAGAUUUUGUAUAAUAAAAUCAUUUUUUUUUCAGAUUUUUUAAAAACAGAACAACAUUUUUUUUUCUGUAAUUUGUUUCACCAAAUAAUAUUUUUUUCCUAUAAUUUAUUCACCAAACAACUAAAAAAAAGAAGAAAGAAUCAAACCUAAGAAGUAGGCGAGGGGGCGAGCGAGCCAGCAAGCGAGCGAGCAGGCGAGGGGGCGAGUUGGCGAGGUGGGCGAGAUGGGAGGUGGGCGGGGUGUGGAGGAGGGAGGAUUUGGUGGUAAGCUCUGUGGAGAAGAAAGGAAAAAGAAAAAGAAAAGAAGAAAGAGAGAAAGUGAGAGAGCAAGCGGGCGGGCGAAAACUGCGGCGAAGGGGCGAGUGGGCGAGGUGGGAGGUGGGCGUGCUGUGGAGGAGGGAGGGUUUGGUGGGAGGUGAGGUCUGUGGAGAAGAAAGGAAAAGAAAAAAGAAAAGAAGAGAGAGAGAGAGAGAGAGAGAGAGAGAGAGAGAAGAAAGAGGGAUAACGGAGGGGAUCUAACGGAGCUUUUCCUAAGUUUUCACUAAAAGGGCUGCACGGAUCUCGAUGCGAUCCAAGGGUUACAAAAUGGGUAGCAAAGUUGGUUGGGUGCUAUCAAUAGCAUCCCAGCCCAACUCAUAUUACAUAUAUUAUAAUAUAAUAUAAUUUUGAAUGUAUAAGUAUAAUUUGGAAUAUAUUUAAAUUAUAAAUAUAGAUGAUGAUGUUGAUUCACUUAAAGCCUACAAACAUAGUGUCAACGGGUUUCAAUUGAGACUCGGCUCAACCAUUCAUAUGCCACUUUGAAUAUGACUCGACUCAAUCUGACUUCCCGUCAUUUCGAACUUGUUACAGACCAACCCGGCCUCCCGGCCCAUCCUGGUCUCUCACAACAUGGCAGGAUAUUGGUCCAUUUAAGCAUACAAUAAUAAUAAUAUAUAUAGAUAUAGAUAUAAAUUUUAAUUGUAAUAUAUAUAAUAUGAUAGUUAUUUAUAUAAAUAAUACAUAACAUAUAAUACAAAGAAAUUAUAUAAAAUUAUUUUCAUUCAAAAUUUUCCUUUCAACCAAAUAACUGUGGCUGAAAUUUUUUUUCUUCCUAUAAACCAAACGUUAAAAAAUGUAAAAAAAUUUCACGAAAUACUCUUUACCACUGAGGAUUAUUUUUCAUACUUUUACGUUAAAUCAAACCAACUCUUAGCUUAAUUUUAUUUUGCUAUCAUGUUUUUUCAAAAAAGUUGUACCUAAAUACUCUAAUUAUUUAGCUCAUUUUUACUUUGUUAUCCUCCGGUUAAAAAAAUAUUGCACGUACUAUUCUAUGAUUGUUAAAAAAUUUUAAUUUAUUAUUCUAUUGGAUACUAGAUUUUUUUUGAUAAAAUAAAGAUAAAAUUACAGAAUAAUUAAGCGUAAUUUUUUGAACCAUAGAGUGGUAAAAUAACAACGAGCUUAACCAUCAGGAGGUAAAUUGAAGUUUACACUAAAAAAAUUAAUAAUUGGAAUAUGUAGACUUUAAAAUAUUAUAUGUAUUCUAGUAAACUUGAAAAUUUGCAAAUUUAUCAUUUGGAGCAGUAAUAAGGAGUCGGCGAUUUAAUCACGAUCACUUUAUAUACUUGUUUUGGUUCUGAGAUGGUCUUCCUUAUAGCAGUGGUACUAUUUUACUGUAUCUUAAGCUAAUCAAGUUCCUCGUUUUGAGAAAAAAGUAUAAUAAUUUUUUUCUAAAAAUAUUUAUGAUUGGAUUGGUAAAUUCCAGGCAAAUUUGAUUAGUUGGAAACCACAAAAUAAUGUGGUACUGCUGCUUCAUUUUAGAAAUUUUCUUCUGAUUUCUUCUAUCUUGUUUAGAUAACAUAGAAGAUUAAAAGGCGUGUGGAUAGGACCAUUUUUUUAAAAAAGAAAGUUUAUAAAUGACAGUUUUUGACUAGUUCAAAAAUAUAUUUGAAUGUUUUUAAAAUUUACAAGUAUAUAUACAAAAGUUUAAAAGAAUAUAUAUGCAAAAUCCUAACUUUGUUAGUAUAUACUUUUAAGUAAAUAGUUAGCUCCUAAAGAGUUAUAUAGUUGAGGGAGUUACUUCAGAAUAAAUUGUAAGUUAAAUUACAAAAAAUCUUCCUGUCAAAACUUGCUCUUUCAUUUUCUUCUUGUCAUUUAAAAAUCUAUAAUUUGCCUCCUUAAAAAAUAAAAAAUAUUCACAGGAGGGUGCACUAUGAUAAAAUAACCACCCCUCAUCCUUUUCAUCUCCUCCCCAAUCCAAAACUUCUCCUCCGUUCUUCGCGCCUCCUUCAAUCCCAGCCCUGACUCCAUUUCCUCCACUUGCUCCCCCACUCCUUUAGCACUCUCACCGUCCCUCCGUUUUGGUGAUUACAGGGAGAAAGAUCGGGGUGGACGUGGAUGGAGAGGUGGGCAAGUGUGAGAGUGAGGCGGCGGAGGAGGCGAGGGCAUGUGUGUGGGCAUAGACAGAGGGGUGGGUAAGGGCGAGGUAGCGAAGAGCGAGGCGGCGACCGAGGACGUCGGUGAGGAAGAAUGAGAAUUUCAGGAGUAUUUUGGGUAUAAAAAAUAGGAUAUAAACGAGAACUCUAACGGAACACUGAUGAUGGGGGCCGAAGUGAAUUUUUUAUUUUUUAAGGGAACAAAGUGCGGAUUUUUAAAAGAUCGGGAGGAAAGUGAAAAAGCAAGUAUUGAGAGGAGGAGAUUGUCUGUAAUUUAGCCUAAAUUAUAGUUUGGAUUCUUGAAUCAAAGAUA